GACAUAGGUUGCGAACGUUAUCCGGAAUUAUUGGGCGUAAAGGAUGCGUAGAUGGUUUGAUAAGUUAUCAGUGGCAAAUCGGGGCUCAACCUCGUGGAAGCUGGUAAUACUGUCAUGCUCGAGUGCAGAAGAGGUUAACGGAACUCCUUGUGGAGCGGUAAAAUGUGAAGAUAUAGGGAAGAACACCAAUAACGGCGAAGGCAGUUAACUAUUCUGUUACUGACAUUGAGGCACGAAAGCGUGGGGAGCAAAACGG
rnacentral:rRNA from 1 species